rnacentral:rRNA from 1 species
UACGUAGGGUGCGAGCGUUGUCCGGAAUCACUGGGCGUAAAGCGCACGUAGGCGGAUUGUUAAGUCAGGGGUGAAAUCCUGGAGCUCAACUCCAGAACUGCCCUUGAUACUGGCAAGCUAGAGUCCCGGAGAGGAUGGUGGAACUCUCGGUGUAGAGGUGAAAUUCGUAGAUAUCGAGAAGAACACCGGUGGCGAAGGCGGCCAUCUGGACGGUGACUGACGCUGAGACGCGAAAGCGUGGGGAGCGAAACAGG